rnacentral:rRNA from 1 species
GAUGAACGCUAGCUACAGGCUUAACACAUGCAAGUCGAGGGGUAACGAGAGGAAAGCUUGCUUUCCUUGUCGACGACCGGCGCACGGGUGAGUAACGCGUAUCCAACCUGCCCCCAACUAGGGAAUAACCUUGCGAAAGUAAGACUAAUACCCUAUAAUUUCCUCAGAUGUCAUCUGACGAGGAAUAAAGAUUUAUCGGUUGUGGAUGGGGAUGCGUCUGAUUAGCUUGUUGGCGGGGUAACGGCCCACCAAGGCAACGAUCAGUAGGGGUUCUGAGAGGAAGGUCCCCCACAUUGGAACUGAGACACGGUCCAAACUCCUACGGGAGGCAGCAGUGAGGAAUAUUGGUCAAUGGGCGGAAGCCUGAACCAGCCAAGUAGCGUGCAGGAUGACGGCCCUAUGGGUUGUAAACUGCUUUUAUAGUAGAAUAAAGUGAGCCACGUGUGGUUUUUUGUAUGUAUACUAUGAAUAAGGAUCGGCUAACUCCGUGCCAGCCGCCGCCGUAA